AGCAGUAGCCGCGGUAAUACGGAGGGAGCUAGCGUUGUUCGGAAUUACUGGGCGUAAAGCGCACGUAGGCGGCUUUGUAAGUUAGAGGUGAAAGCCUGGAGCUCAACUCCAGAAUUGCCUUUAAGACUGCAUCGCUUGAAUCCAGGAGAGGUGAGUGGAAUUCCGAGUGUAGAGGUGAAAUUCGUAGAUAUUCGGAAGAACACCAGUGGCGAAGGCGGCUCACUGGACUGGUAUUGACGCUGAGGUGCGAAAGCGUGGGGAGCAAACAGGAUUAGAUACCCCUGUAGUCCCUGUCUCUUAUAC
rnacentral:rRNA from 1 species